rnacentral:rRNA from 1 species
UACGAAGGGGGCUAGCGUUGCUCGGAAUUACUGGGCGUAAAGGGCGCGUAGGCGGACAGUUUAGUCAGAGGUGAAAGCCCAGGGCUCAAUCUUGGAAUAGCCUUUGAUACUGACUGUCUUGAGUUCGGGAGAGGUGAGUGGAAUGCCGAGUGUAGAGGUGAAAUUCGUAGAUAUUCGGCGGAACACCAGUGGCGAAGGCGACUCACUGGCCCGAUACUGACGCUGAGGCGCGAAAAGCGUGGGGGAGCAAACAGG